UGUCCGUGAUCUUAUCGCAUCUGUGAAACAAUCAAACAAAAACAGUAGCAGUAGUUUUGCAGAAACUACCGAGAACCCGGUUCUGAAGCGCGUGUUACCACGCGCACGACUUCAAAUAACGACCCAAACCCUCAAUUCUGAAAUUGCUGAAACUUCGUCGUACUCCAAAACCCUAAUCCAUGUCUGAUCCUAUCCUCGCCGCUCAACCGCCGGAGCAACUGUCAUCGGAUCUGGAUUUCGAUGACUUCGCCGGCCAGUUCAACAACCUCCCUAUCCCCUCAUUAGAUGCUUUCUUCAACCACGACGCUCUUGAUUCAGAGCCGUUCCCUUCCGAUCUAGAAUUCCCGCUGGGAGAUUUCGAGAUCACCUUUGACGAUAUUGAUAACCUCUGCAUCCCUACUGAUACGGAUGGUUUUAUUCUUCCUGAAGCUUGGAACCCGAAUACUAAUGGCAUUCCAAUUUCGCCUAUGAUCGGAGAUUGCAUUGAUGGUGAUGGCAAUUGUUCUCCGGAGAAUUUUGAUUCGCCGGGAUCAGGUGCUUCUGUGGUUUCUGGUGAUCAAAGCGAUCAAAGCCCCGGUGUUUCUAGGUUUUUUAAUUCAGAAUCGGUUUCUGCUGAUGAUAACUCGGUUGAUGUUAGAGUCUCGAGCAUUCCUUUGACGGAGACUGAAAUUAGCGACCGGGAAGAGUCUUCAAAUGGACCGGUCUCUUCUCAGGGAUCGGGUAAUGGUGGAUCUGGUGUAUAUGAAGCCGUGAACUCGCCCUCACAUGAUUCUGGUAGUUAUGAGAGGGAUAUUUCAUCUUCUCAUGAACAUGCAACUUUGGAAGAGGGUGUAAAAGUGGAGGGAAUUGUUAAAGGCCGUGAUCUGAAGAGGAAGAAAGAAAACAGCCAUGAAAGUGCUGAAAAUAGAACCCCGAAAUGUAGCAGAAGGUCCUCCUCAAUGGAAAACAAGACCCCACAACAGCAGCAAUCUCAAUCUGGUUUUGAUGGAAUUGAAGAUGAUGAUGAGAAGAGGAAGGCAAGGUUGAUAAGGAACAGAGAAAGUGCACAGCUUUCUAGGCAGAGGAAGAAGCAUUAUGUGGAGGAGCUUGAGGAGAAGGUACGAUCAAUGCAUUCAACAAUUUCUGAUUUGAGUAGUAAGAUUACCUAUGUCAUGGCUGAGAAUGCUACACUUAGACAACAAUUGUGUGGUGGUGUUAUGUGUCCACCUCCACCACCAGGUUCUGGGAUGUACCCUCAUCCUCCAAUGCCACAUAUGCCUUAUCCUUGGAUGCCUUGUGCUCCUUAUGUUGUUAAACCUCAAGGGUCUCAGGUUCCUUUGGUUCCAAUUCCAAGGUUGAAACCUCAGCAACCAGCUGUGUAUUCUAAGACUAAGAAGACUGAGACUAAGAAGAUUGAGGUGAAAACUAAGAAGGUUGCUAGUAUUAGUUUGUUGGGUUUGUUUUUCUGUAUCAUGCUUUUCGGUGGGCUUGUUCCUUUGGUAGAUUUUAAGUUUGGAGGUUUAGUUGAUAAUCUUUCUGGUAGGUCUAGUUAUGUUAGUGAUAGAUGGUUGUAUGGUCAGGGUGUAGGUAGAGUUUGGCCUGUAAAUGAUCAUAUGAAAGAAUAUGGAAGGGAUGGGGAGGUGGGAUUAUCCAAAAGGAACAAUUAUGAGAGAGGCCGAAAACUAGGUGAAGAAAUGAAUGAACUGAAAAACUCGAGUUGUUUUGGUCAUCGAGACAACACCAGCGAGCCACUUCUUGCUUCUUUGUAUGUUCCUAGGAAUGAUAAGUUGGUGAAGAUUGAUGGAAACUUGAUAAUCCAUUCGAUCAUGGCCAGUGAGAAAGCCAUGGCAUCUCAAGAUGCUCAAGGAAAGAAGGAGAAAAGUGAAACUGGUUUGGCCAUUCCUAGGGAUUCUGCAUUGGCUAUUCCUGAAGUUGGAAGAAAUAGAGGGCAACAUCCAAAUGUGUAUAGAGUUUCUUCCGAACAGAGAAGGACUAUUGGCUCUGGUUCGGCCAAAACCUUGAAGGACCAUAUGAAAUCUUCUGCAACUGAUGGUAAAAUGCAGCAGUGGUUCCGUGAAGGAAUUGCAGGUGAGUGUCCUUUAAUUAUGUCUGUCCUCUAAUUUUAUUCUAUUGGUGGCUUGGUAGAAAUGGUACAUUCUCUUCUGCUGAUUUAUAACAUGUUUAUUAUGUCGCUGUCAUGAUUUUACUUCAUAAAUUAUUAGGUAGAAAUAAUGCAGUCUCUUCUGCUGAAUUGUGUCUUCUUGGAUGCUCUAUAAAAUCUUUUAUCAGAAUUUGCCAAUUUGUAGCACAUAUUACAGUUUUUACGUUAUCUUUCUGUCUGAUUUUCACACUAAAGAUUGCUAGGUAGGCUUGGUACACUCUCUUCUGCUUGUGUUUUCUUGGGUGCUGUAAAAAAUCACUAAUCACAUAUAAGCCAUUGUGUAGCACAUAUUAUAGGUUCAACGUUUUCAAUUUUGGCAGUGUUUGAGUAUAUGAGAUACCUUCUAAUAUUAAGCUCAUACGUUUUCUGUUUGGUUGUUCCUUGGUUGUUUGAGAUGUCUUCCAAACUUGGUUAGAUAGAUUUCUUGAACUCCUUGUGAUUCUCUAACUCUGUCACUAACUUAAUAGUGCUUAUUUAGUAAUACCUCCCCUAACUGUUACAUUUUUGGUUCGAUGUUGUAUUUCUAAUAUAGCUUUUCUUAUGCCAUAUUAACUGUCAUUAUCUAAGAUGUCUUUUCUCAGUAUUAGAACUGAAAACAACACCUUCAUGUUGUCCACGUCUCAAUCAUGCUUAAGCUGUACAAGAUUUAUAUCCCAAAUAAGUUCCUGCUUGCCUAUUUUGAAGCACAUAAGUAUUGAAGUUUUACCAAA